GGCGAACGGGUGAGUAACACGUGGGUAAUCUGUCCUGUACUCUGGGAUAAGCCUGGGAAACUGGGGGUGAGAUACCGGAUAUGACCUUGCCUCGCAUGGGGUGGGGUGGAAAGCGUUUAGUGGUAUGGGGUGGGCCCGCGGCCUAUCAGCUUGACGGUGGGGUGAUGGCCUACCGUGGCGACGACGGGUAGCCGGCCUGAGAGGGCGACCGGCCACACUGGGACUGAGACACGGCCCAGACUCCUACGGGAGGCAGCAGUGGGGAAUAUUGCACAAUGGGCGAAAGCCUGAUGCAGCGACGCCGCGUGAGGGAUGACGGCCUUCGGGUUGUAAACCUCUUUCGCCAGGGACGAAGGGUGACUGACGGUACCUGGAGAAGAAGCACCGGCUUAACUACGUGCCAGCCGCCG
rnacentral:rRNA from 1 species